ensembl:ncRNA F02G3.3 ncRNA
UAUUAUUUGAACGUGCGCUCUUACAGGCAGUUGGACCAUUGAGAGGGCGUAUAUGAUCAGAUGGUAAGAUGUGAUGACAGUCGAGUGAC